UAAUAUGUUUGGAGCAAAUCCUCAUUUAGUUAUGACAAAUUCAUACCUGACUGUUUAAAAUCACUCGUUAUCGCAAGCCCGACUACAUCAUUGAUAUUGAAAAAUAGAGAACAACUACAAUGUGAAUAACAACUUUUUAAAAUUUUAA
rnacentral:pre_miRNA from 13 species